CUUCAGAGCAGCCUAGCACAUUUCGCAAAUUGCAUUUGACUUGUCAGGUUGCUAUUUUAGGGAUGGAGUUGGCCCUGCCGUUUCAGAGCAUGGCCCAUGUAUAGGGAGGAUGGUCUUUUGGCUGUAGGAUCAAUCCUGAUCUCGAUUCUACCACAAUUUGAUGCCUUUUCUGUCUCUCCCAAGCUGAUCUUUUUUAUAAAGUUAAAAUAAUACUUUUAUUCAUGAUCUAAAAAGUCUUUUAAAAAAGUGCUGUAGAAUAGGCAUGUGUGCUGCUGAGGCUUUUGCAGCUAAACCCAAGUGGACAAGCAAGGAUUAGCUUUUUUUUUUUUCUUUUGCACUUUCGCACCAGCUUCCUUUUCCAGUAGUAUUUUUGUUGCAUAGUUCAGAGUCUUGUUAGGAUCAUACACUAUAUGAGUUUAAGACCAAACCACUCACCUUCCAGCUAUAAGAUGAGCCUCUCUGAACCACAGCCACCCCAGCUAUGAUAAGUAUGAUUCCUGCAAUGGAAAUAUGUCAUGUGUUACCAGUCUUUUUCCCAGUGUCAAGCUGUGGCUCAGCUCCCUGUGCAAACUACAACAAAGUUGAUGGCUGAUAUGUUUAAAUAUAAAUGAUAAAGUACUGUACAUAUUAAAAAAUUGCAGUCUAAUGAGACUGUUUAAGGACAAAGAUAAUUUUUUUUUAAUCCCUGUGAAAGGGUAGAUAUGCUGCUGCUGCUGCUGCUGCUGGUGUGUGUGUGUGAACUCAGUCCCAUUAAAGAUUAAUUGUCAUUAUCAGUCAUUGAUUUAGGAUUUAAGCUCUUAUUUGUUCAUCUCCUGCCUCCCUGCAUCUGUUUUCUAUUGGUAGUUUAACAACCUCGCUACUACAGCUGGAAUCUAAACAUUAGAGAAAGCUCACUGAAUCAUAAAGUUGUUAUGUUGUGUUAUGGUCAUAUCCAAGGUGAUGGUAUAGACUAAGCCAGCCAAGAAUACAAUAUUAAACUAAAAAGAGUCAGCUCUUGUACUAAAUAAGAAAUCAAUUCAGGUGCUUCACAACACAAGACACGGUUUAACAACUUAAACAUAACACAUACUGUACCUGUGAACGAAACUACAAAUCAAGAAGAGAUUGAGAUGAUGUUAAGCCUCAAGGAAUCUGUGUGACUUGUGAACUGGCUUUUCAGACCCUGGAGCACCGCAGCACCUACUACUUUCUGUUCAACAAUAAAGCACUUUGGAGGUUGGCUAUAUGACACUAUGACACUUCUAACAUAGUAGACGAUGCAAAUUACUUUGCGAUACUGCCUCCCAGUGUGAUCACCACCUAUGUGUAGCCAGGACACAAGCACGCCAUUGCAUCAGCAAGGCAAUGCACCACUAAACCAAGGUCACAGAGUACUGUGAUUUUUAUUUAUUUUGUUUGUUAGAGUGUUGACCCAUGAGAUGAUCACUCCAUGGUCUCCAGACUCUAGAUGUCAUACAUAAUUUGAGCUCACAGGUACAAACAGAUUUGAUGGGUAAACUUUGCAUGUUGGAAUGCUUUUAAGGAUAUCGAGUGGAAGAUUUUGGUCUUAAGCUAAGUUUAGACAGCAGACCCAUACGCCUGGUUCACACAGGAAGUGCCGCGCGUGGAACGGAAGCGCCGCGCGCAGCGCCGGCUCGCGCUUGGCUGUUCACACAUUUAUUUACGUUUUUAUUUCGUCAUACAUAAAUUAAAUAUUGGCAGCAUCUUCAAGUAUUGUUUUAAAUUAUUAUAUAGGGGUAAACAACGAAUAAAUUGGGGAGUCUGUUGACUCCGUUGUAUGUAUAGCCUUGUUAGCUCGAGGCUAUUGACUGUAUCGUAAUAAAGUCCCCCUCCUUUGUCUCAAUAACAUCACUGAAUCUCUGCAGCUCUCCCUCCGUGUGUCUGUGUGUGUGUGUGUGUGUGUGUGUGUGUAUGUGUUCAUCGGUAAAAAAUAGACCGACAAGCAACACCGUAAAUCCUUUUUUUCUAAUUUAUUGAAAUUUAUUUUAUUUUGAAAAUUGACCGGAUUCUCUUGCAUCUCCUGUUCCGACUUCCUGUCUGAUCUGAUCUGCUCUGUCCAGCUUUACAAUCGGCGCGCGCAGCUCGCGCCGAAAAUAGAGAGAAGCGGAGCAGCCGUGCUCCACAGCGCGAGCCGUUCCGCGCGCGAGCUGUGUGAACAGUCUCAUAGGUUAACAAGGGCGCCGAUCCGAAUCUCUGUGCGCGGCGCUUCCGUUCCGCGCGCGGCGCUUCCUGUGUGAACCAGGCGUUAGGCUUACAAAUAAAACAUAGUAUAUCUGACAACUGCAGUACCUCAUUGGCCAUAUGAGGCUGGCUCCAAAGAGCGACAUUCAUUGCUGAGCUGCAUGAAAAAAAACCAAAAAAAAAACAAAAAAAAAAAACUUCACAGCAGAGUGAAUACCACUUAUGGUCUAAAUAAGCCAAUUUAAAUGUCUGUUUCUUAGUUCACGUAAAUUAUAACAGUGACUGACUAUUGUUUUCUCUUUCAUUCCAAUAUUUGACAAACAAUAUAGACUGUGCUGUUAUCUUACCAACAAGCCUGAGUGCAUCUUCAAUGUGUAUUGAAAAGCAGUUUAUAUGUUAUUGCUGAGUUACAGGUGCUUAAGCAAAAAAGGUGUUACAACCAUCCACAGUUUCCCCUAUGUGAAUUGUGUGAACCCUAUCUAAGUAAACCAGUAUUGCCCUUGUAUUGAAUGACCUGCUGUAAAUUGCAUUAUCUACCAAAUAAAGGUUUAAAUGUCUCAGAACCGAGGCGGUGAUGGCUUAGCAGUCUAAGUGCUUUACAUGCAAGCUAUGCUACACCUAUACACCAAUGCCCCCAUCCCCACCUCUCUCUCUCUCUCUCUUUCUCUCUGUCUGUUUCCUGAUCUAUCCACUACCCUGUACUCUUCAAAUACAAUAUAGGGAGAAAAAAAGCCCAAAAAUCAAAAAAAGGCAAAAGCUGGAGAAGCAAUCUCUGAAAUACGCAGUUCCAUCCCUACAUUUAACCAUAAUUUUGGCUCUUGUGUGAAUGCCGGAAGAUAGCCUGCAGCUUUCUUCCUUCUAUAAUUUUGAUAGUUAAGAGCAGCUAGCUUAAAUCAUUAUUGGUCAACCACUUACUUCUUGCUAUUGCCACUUUUUUUCCCCAAAUAUGGUCAUUUCAAUAAAAAAAAAAAGGUAUGGUGACAGACAGCCAACAUUUGAAAGUUGGGACUUAAAAAGAUAAUCGCCAAACAAAAAGUGAAAUGACUGUGACUGUAUCUGUAAAAAUGACUUGAAUGAGCCUUCAGGGUUGGAUUUGCAUGGAGAAAAAAACAAUGUAAAGAUAUGUAUAUGACUGGUUGCAGACGCACCUGGUGUUCUUCUUCCUUUUCUGAGCAGUCUACAUCAGAUAUCCUACCCCCCCCCCCUUCCAAAUUCAAAGAAUGAUCUUUUAAAAGGGAUAUACCACCUUGGAAAAUGAUUUACUCUACAGGUUACACCAGAAUGUACAUUGUGAGCAUAUUUAAAGCUGAGCACCUUGCAGUUGAACAUGUCUGGCUUUAUUGAUGUGGAGCGCCGGAGUAGAGUCCCUGUGUUGUCUUUGUGCUGAUAAGUGGCCAGGCCUUGGACGCUUGUAUUUUAAUUAGCAUCAGGUUGUAUGAACUCAAAAAUGGAUGAAUAGAUGGUGUAAGAUCCGUUCUUUUAUUGAAUGCCUUAUAAAGGGGCUUUGUUGGAGACAGCAAAAUGGCCAGGGCAGCUGAGGGAAAAAAAAGCUUUGAGCAAGAAAAACAACCUGAAAUGGCGGCGGCUGCUGGGUUCAUGGCCAGAGCAUGAGUGUGUGUGUUUAGCAAGAGAGCUACAGAGAAAGGAGAGUACAGGGGGAGGACUGAACACAAGGCAGCAGAAAAAUACAACCUGACAAACACAAAUAUUGAUUUGAAUUUUCUCCCCUGUCUCACGUUUUUUUCCCUCUUCCCCUCUCUCUCCUUUGCCCUUGCCACCUCCUCAGCUUUUAUUUCCUUGUCUCUCUGCCUUUUUUCCAUCUAGAGAGCGGCUGAAGUACUUUAUUUUCUAUCCAUCUUGAAGUACUGUAAGGAUGGAUGGAGGACAGGAUGGAGGGGUGGAGAAGAGGAUGACGCUCAAAGAGGGAGGCAAAAAUGGAUUGGAGAAGAAAAGUGGAGAUGGAGAGACAAGAGAGAAAGAGCGGGGAAAAAUGGAGCCGGUAGUUGUUGAAAUAAGUGCAACCGGUGCAGCUGAGAUGGGAGGAGAUGCUUAAAGUGGAAUAGCUGAAAAAAGAGAGGAGAAGAAUAAGAAAUAGGGGGAGAAUGAGAUGGACAGAGAGGGGAGAGUGAAAAAGGCGAAGGCAAGGUCUUGAGCAAAGGAGGAAGAACAGCAGACAACAGAGUACAGGAGCAAAGGAUGCUGGUAAAGAGAGGUAAAGGUCUUGCCCCCCCCCCCCCCAAAAAAAAAAAAAAAAAAAAAAAAUCCCCUCGUUAUCCAUAUUAGCACCUGCUGGGCUAACAAGGGCCCCACUCCUCGUUGCCAAGGCAACUCUUCACCAGCCUUCGCUCUUUCUUUCUUUCUUCUUCUCCACACACCCCAAACUCCAGCAACCACUAACUACCUUCAAUCUAAACCCCUCCCUCUCUACCCCCUCUCUGCUGCUUCCUCUCCAGGUAAUGAAAGGAAGAUAUGAAGCAGAGGGAGUGCGGGGAGAGGGGUGGGGGGUGUUCUGAAAGGAAAGAAAGAAGAUUUGAAGUGAACAUGCAUUAUACCUUGUUUCCCUUCUCUCAACUGUGUAAUCUGCCUCUGUACUCUAUUGACUAUUCAAUGCAUUCAGAGGGUGUACUCAUUGAUGUAAUAGCUGGAUGUGGUGUGGACAAAGGUCCCUGGAUUUAUUGCAGCAAACCAAUGAGAGUAACCCACGAAUGCAGAGACAGAGCUAAUGCAGGACAUGUAGCUCUUACUGACAAGGCUUUCAGUCCUCCAAGUUAGCCUUGCCCUGAUAUCAUGUUCAUCAUAUUUAGAUCAGGCUAGAUCAUCUGUUGACCUUUUAUUAUAUACUACAUAACCCUUCAAAAGAUGCUUGAUUACAUAAAUAGUUAUUGUAUAUUUAUGUCCACCUUCUUAAAGGGGUAUUCAGGCUCUUGGCAUAAAACAUGUUGUCAAAUCUUUGUUCAUAAGAAACUUAUAAAAAGUUAAAGUCAUUCAUUCUUUUUGUUUGGUAUUGCUUUUCAAGCUCUGGGUCAUAGCUGGAAAAGGACACUCACCUGCCACAUUAUUAGGUACACCUACUGUGUAUAUAUUUCUCACAUAUUUUGUAAAACUAGUUAAUAUGUCAACAUAAACCAUGAGAAAAACAAAGGAACUCUGUGUUAUCUUUGGUAUCCCCAUUGAUCUGAGCAGUCUUUGCUUUUCUUGUCCUCUACAUGCUCACAAAAAAGGAAAAAAAACUGCUGACCUUUGACUUGUAUUGUAUCAUUUAUUGUGAAUAUACUACCUGGAUAUUAUAAAACCAGCAACUAUGCUGACACCUACCCUUUGCACCAGUAUCAGUCAUUAAAUUGCUAAUCUUGUCCCUGAGGGUGUUUUAUAACUGUUAAAAACUACUCAGGUGCUUUUAAAAUAUUAAAGAAUUAAGAAAAAAAAUAAGAGAACAUUUUAAAGAUAAUAAAAAGAAUAGAAUUUUUUUUUUUUAAAGAUGUCAGCAACCCCACAGGAGGCCAAAUGAUGACUGACCAUCAAACUUGACAUCUGUUAAAUUCUUCUGCAGUCACAUGUGACUUUGAAGUAAACAAACAUGGACUACCAGAGGUGACCAGUGUUAGCUGCUUAGCCUCCUGGUACAUCUAUUGGAGAAGGAUUUCUUUUUUUAAUGUCUCCCUUGUCAUUUUGCUGCCCCUAUUUUACUUCCUUCUAUAGUCAGCUUGCUUCCUGACUGGCGAUUAUUUUGAGUAUGUGACACUGGACAGUAUGCAUUUUUGAUCAUCCUCAGGGUUCCCCCCUCAUACAAGGAUAUCUGAUUUGAAAUAUUGAUCAUGUUUAAUAUUUUCAAUUUUAAAUUAGAAACUGACAUCAGUCUUCUUUCAUGUGAAACAGAGGGGAGAAAAUCACUUUUAACACUAAGAUAAUCCUGGAGGAUGGCACAGUGGUGUAGUGGUUAGCACUGUUGCUUCAUAGCGAGAAGGUCUUGAGUUUGAGUCCGACUCAGGGCGUUUCUGUGUGGAGUUUGCAUGUUUUUCCUGUGGCUGCGUGGGUUUACUCCAGGUACUCCGGUUUCCUCCCACAUCCCAUAAACAUGCCUAAGUGGGGUUAGGUCAAUUGGCCGCUUU